UAACCGAUCUACAGGUAAAU
rnacentral:snRNA from 1 species